rnacentral:rRNA from 1 species
UACGUAGGGGGCAAGCGUUGUCCGGAAUUAUUGGGCGUAAAGAGCGUGUAGGCGGUCCGGUAAGUCAGCUGUGAAAGUCAAGGGCUCAACCCUUGAAUGCCGGUUGAUACUGUCGGGCUAGAGUCCGGAAGAGGCGAGUGGAAUUCCCGGUGUAGCAGUGAAAUGCGUAGAGAUCGGGAGGAACACCAGUGGCGAAGGCGGCCUUCUGGACCAAUACUGACGCUCAUGCACGAAAGCGUGGGGAGCAAACAGG